rfam:Giardia intestinalis strain GS GS_B_0215, whole genome shotgun sequence.
UCCGGCGUAGUAUAACGGCUAGAAUGGUUGGUUCUCACCCAACAGAUCCGGGUUCGAUUCCCGGCGCCGGAG